CUCUCUGCUGCUCCUGACUGCCCAGUUCCUGACUGGGCAGUCUCCUGGGUGCGUCAGAGCACCCUGGAGUCGCUCCUGCUGAGCUGGCUGGUUUAUGUGUCAGCUGGCCGGGCAGUAGCACCAGUUAUCCCGCUGAACCCUGGCCCCAGGGUAGCCGUGGUGGUGUUCUGUGGAUAGCUCACAUCUAAAAAGGAGUUGACCUCAAACAGUGGUCCUCAAUGACCCUCCCGAGGCUGGAUCCUCAGCAGCCAGGUAGACAGCAAGCAGCACCGGCUCUAGCCUUGUGGGCCCAAGCUGUGACCUGAUUGUGGCUAAACACCAUGGCCCUUGCCCUUCCAAGCAAGCCUCCUGCUUCUCACUUGCCCACUGAGGUCCCUUGUGGUCCCCGUCCACACCAGGGAAGGCCUGAGAGCGGCACUGAGGUCCCCUGAGGAAGAAGGAACCCACCAGCCCUCAGCCUCUGCUCCUGCUGGUCCUCCCAGCCAGCCUCCUGCCUGCCCACGCAGCGGGUCCACUCCAUGCUCCCGAGGCGGGCUGCAGGCCACUCCCGGCUCAGCUUCCCGGGGGGCCUCCUGGUACAGUGAAUGGCUCCUGUGGGGCCUGAGUUUUACAAUCAGAAGAAGUAACCGUUACUUUAACGCCCAGGUAACACUGGGAGCAAGGAGGGCCGCCUCCAGGGACAGCUGUAUUUGGGCACAUUUCUCACAAGGUGAUGUGAGGCCACCUCUGCGUUGAGCCAGUAUUCUGCCGUACCCUAGUGACAUUGAAUGUCCCCGACCCUAGAAGUUCUACUUCCAGAACCCCCUGCACUGAAGCCCAGCCCCAUGAAGACACCUCUCAGGUCCUGGUCUUACCGGAUGCAGGGAGGGAGCCGCAGUGUAGGGUGGCCACCGUCCACUCCACGCACCCUGCCAGGCUCUGAAUAGGUCCAGUGAUGAACAGGCAGAGCCAGCUCCACCACGCGGGGUUACUGCUAGGCAGGCGGGG
rnacentral:lncRNA from 1 species